CUAUGCACUGACACGGUGGGGGAAAUAACAAGUUCAAGAUUUACAGAGUCUCUAUCUAUUUCAGUUACUGUGGACUGUGGGUGAAGUCAAGUGUUGAGCUGACAAUGACAAGGGGUGGAGGGUGUCAGCACAUCAAACAGAUGUGGUGACCCGAGACAGGGAAUUUUGAGAUUUGCUCAGUGAAAAGCGAGGUACAAAAAAAUUGGACUUGGUUGAAUAGCGAGUGUUGUGUUCAUGCACAGAGUGUGUUGGAGUGUGGUCAAGUCUUUUCCACUAGCAAGCAGGCAGGCAUCAUCGGCGAAGAGCUUGGUUAGAAGAUUAGAGCAGUUCAACAAGUCAUUUACAGAGAGUAAAAAAGCCAAAGGCCCGAUAAUUGAACCCUGGACAAUUCCGCACUGAAUGGGCAACAUUGGGGACUUAUGAGAACCUAAUUCAACAAAUUGAAAACGACCACUCAGGUUCAAUAUUAUUUGGUGAACCUCGGAAGGUGUCGUUUGCUCCAGAAAAAAAGAGUGCUGUGAGGGAGCACUCAAGAAAGCUUUGAAAGAUUUCUUGCUAUGUGGAAUAUUGUCAGCAAGUUUCUUUCCUACAGAUGAAAAGAAUUUGUUGAAUUCGGCGGAUAUUCUGGCGGGGUCGGAAACUGUGGCACCAUUUUCAAGCUCCAAUUCAGAGACGAUGGAUUCAUUUUUGGACCUAACUUUAAUAAUGUCAUUGAUAGUUUUCCAAGUGUGCUUCACAUCCCCUCUGUUGUUUUCAAGGAUAUUAUGAUCGACUCAACCUCCAAUCUGAACAGGUCAACACAAAAUUUAGUCAUGUCACGUUUCAUGCGAGUGUUUGUCUUUAUAUUGCCAGUAGUUGCUGAUAUUGUGCACAUUACGGGAAAGUGGUCAGUGAGAUCACUGAGCAAAAUAAAUGAUGAAUUGCAGAAAUUUACGGUAUUGGUGUAAAUAUGGUCUAUAAGGGUGUGAGAGGUCGAGGUAACUCUGGUUGG